rnacentral:lncRNA from 1 species
CGUAUAGUAAUGGAUCCCGAUUGAGCUGUAGCUGAUGACGUUGAAAGUAUAGCGCCUGCUCCUGCGCAAGGGGCAGUGCCAGUUGAUUCUCGGCCUACCUCAAGUAGCCAAGAGGGGAAGGCAAAGCAAGCCUUCUACCAAAUGAUGAACCUUGGUAUUUCUGCAAUUUAGCCAGGUAGUACCUUGGUAUUUCUGCAAUUUAACCAGGUAAGUUCAUAUGAACUAUAUUCUGUAUAAUCUUGAUUAAAGUGAAUUUGAUAUUGAAAGUAAAUUUUGAAAUGAAAGUGAGUUUGAAUGAAGAUUUGGAAACCUUAUUAACUAGUCGAGUUGAGUCGAAUAUAAUUGACAUGUCAUAGGAUUGGAAGAGUACGGGAAUUUAUCGGCUUUGCCAAUCAGUCACUAUAUGUGUCGUAUUAGGCACCACGUGUGUCGUUUCAGGCACUUUAUGUGUCGUAUACUGCUUCUGAUAUAUUGAUCAGGUACAAAGUACCGUUUUAGGCACAAUGUGCUGUACUGGUGUGUUUGGUUGGAAUCCGUGUAUUCGCCAAGGUCCGGGUUUAUGAAUAGGGUGAAUAAGCAAAAUGUGAGAAUUGAAUAAAUUUGAUUGAUCGUACGACUGAAAGUAUAAGGAAGAAAUUGUUAGUCAAAUUGUGAGAUU